rnacentral:rRNA from 1 species
GUGGGGAAUAUUGGGCAAUGGGGGAAACCCUGACCCAGCGACGCCGCGUGAGGGAAGAAGGCCUUAGGGUCGUAAACCUCUGUUGUGUGGGAAGAAGAGCGUGACGGUACCACACGAGGAAGUCCCGGCUAACUACGUGCCAGCAGCCGCGGUAAUACGUAGGGGACGAGCGUUGUCCGGAUUUACUGGGCGUAAAGGGCGCGUAGGCGGUCAUUUAAGUCAGCUGUACAAUGGUUUGGCUUAACCGGAUCAUGCGGUUGAAACUGGAUGACUGGAGUGCUGGAGAGGCAAGUGGAAUUCCCAGUGUAGCGGUGAAAUGCGUAGAUAUUGGGAAGAACACCGGUGGCGAAGGCGACUUGCUGGCCAGCAACUGACGCUGAGGCGCGAAAGCCAGGGGAGCAAACGGGAUUAGAUACCCUGGUAGUCC